UACAGAGGUCUCAAGCGUUGUUCGGAUUCAUUGGGCGUAAAGGGUGCGUAGGUGGGAAUGUAAGUCAGUGGUGAAAUCUCCGUGCUUAACACGGAAACUGCCAUUGAUACUAUGUUUCUUGAAUUUUCUGGAGGUUAGCGGAAUAUGUCAUGUAGCGGUGAAAUGCUUAGAUAUGACAUAGAACACCGAUUGCGAAGGCAGCUAACUACAGGGAUAUUGACACUGAGGCACGAAAGCGUGGGGAUCAAACAGG
rnacentral:rRNA from 1 species